AACGAACGCUGGCGGCAGGCUUAACACAUGCAAGUCGAGCGCCCCGCAAGGGGAGCGGCAGACGGGUGAGUAACGCGUGGGAAUCUACCCAUCUCUACGGAAUAACGCAUGGAAACGUGUGCUAAUACCGUAUACGUCCUUCGGGAGAAAGAUUUAUCGGAGAUGGAUGAGCCCGCGUUGGAUUAGCUAGUUGGUGGGGUAAAGGCCGACCAAGGCGACGAUCCAUAGCUGGUCUGAGAGGAUGAUCAGCCACACUGGGACUGAGACACGGCCCAGACUCCUACGGGAGGCAGCAGUGGGGAAUAUUGGACAAUGGGCGCAAGCCUGAUCCAGCCAUGCCGCGUGAGUGAUGAAGGCCCUAGGGCUGUAAAGCUCUUUCACCGGUGAAGAUAAUGACGGUAACCGGAGAAGAAGCCCCGGCUAACUUCGUGCCAGCCGCCGCGGUAAAAC
rnacentral:rRNA from 1 species